GUGACAGGUACUGUUCAAGUGGUUCGAUGUGCUUGUCACUGGAAUGUCACAGGGCACAGACAGCCUAGGCUCUCCAGGCGGGCAUGCCACUUCUCCAACGCUGCAGGGAACUGCUGAGGUUAAACAUGGCCUUUCAACAGAGAACUUUACUUAAAGUAAUGCUGACAGAAACAACAAUCUGUGCCCUGUGUUUAUAAUUCCAUGUUGGACAAGGUUCCUAGUUCCGAUACAUGGGGAAAGCCUGCAGAGCAAUAGAUGAAAGUACCAGGUGACGCAAUGGAGGAAAACUUGACUUUCCCCGGGCUCCCAGAAAGGUCACCUUUAAGCUGUGAGCCACUGUCCAUCAUGGGACUUCUGGGACACUGAAGGGGAAGCUGCCAUGUUCUCCUGCCUCUGGUGGAAGGUUUCGAUAUCUUGUGAGGAAUCUCGGGCCCACUUCCCAGCAGACACCAGGACUACUGCGGCUCCAGCUGAUGCAGAAAUCCAAAAUCUGGCUCUUCAGUUUCUAUUAAUUAAAUCCUAAUGGUGA